CAGCUCUUUGUGGUCGCUUUGUCUCUCUCUGUACUGAUUUUGUGUCUCUUUUUUUUUUGUCGUUUUACGUUUGAAAUCUCUUUCAGAACAAUGUACACCUCUUUGUGGAUGUUUUGCCUCUCCAUGUUGGUGGUUUAGCAUCUCUUGAAUCUCUUUGUAGAUGUUUUACAUCCGUUUAUGGCAUCUAUUGCAUCUGCAUUUUUUUUUAUUGUUGAUGGUUUUACAUUGUUUUAUAAGUUUUUGUAGUCGCUUUGCAUCUCUUUUUGGUCAUUAUAUAGUAUUUUGCAGGUGAAGACCAGGUGCCUCGUGACUCCUCGCACCCCUGGGCCUGUGCCCGGUAGACCUGUUCGGUAAUCCAUCCAUGAUGACACACUUAAUCGACGCAGCCUCUGAACACAGAUGUUUCCUGUCAAUUUAGGACCUGCUCCAACUCUGACCCAAGGAUUUACGCGACUGUCCGUGGAGAUCAUCACUGCUUUACUUCACCAAGAGAGCCCUCUAUAUGUCUGGCUUGUGGUAUCCUUUGGUCAUCGAGGUGGAACUAUGCAGUGCCCAG